GCGCGGUACCGGGCGGUAGGCCUCGCGGCGGCUACCAUGCAGUCUAGCGGAUGAAGGGAGCUUGCUCCUGGAUUCAGCGGCGGACGGGUGAGUAAUGCCUAGGAAUCUGCCUGGUAGUGGGGGAUAACGUCCGGAAACGGGCGCUAAUACCGCAUACGUCCUGAGGGAGAAGGUGGGGGAUCUUCGGACCUCACGCUAUGACAUGAACCUAUGGCGGAUUAGCUAGUUGGUGGGGUAGUGGCCUAACGGCGCCACGAUGCGAAUAUGCGUAGCAGAGGAUGAUCAGUCACACUGGAACUGAGACACGGUCCAGACUCCUACGGGAGGCAGCAGUGGGGAAUAUUGGACAAUGGGCGAAAGCCUGAUCCAGCCAUGCCGCGUGUGUGAAGAAGGUCUUCGGAUUGUAAAGCACUUUAAGUUGGGAGGAAGGGCAGUAAGUUAAUACCUUGCUGUUUUGACGUUACCAACAGAAUAAGCACCGGCUAACUUCGUGCCAGCAGCCGCGGUAAUACGAAGGGUGCAAGCGUUAAUCGGAAUUACUGGGCGUAAAGCGCGCGUAGGUGGUUCAGCAAGUUGGAUGUGAAA
rnacentral:rRNA from 1 species